rnacentral:lncRNA from 1 species
GUGUCCACAGUAGGUACAAGCAAGACAAGUAGUACUAGGAAAGGAGUGAACGUAUAGGAACCCUUCCCCCGCCUCCCCAACCGAGCCCAGAUUCUGGAUUCUCCCCUCCCUCUGGCCAGAACACACAAACACAAGCUCACCCACACACCCAGGCUACUCUCUUAAAAAUAUACAUACGCACACACACUAUUUUCUAAACACCAUGCCCUGCUUCACUUUUCAAAACAGUCUGCUCCGAUUUGGGCUCAGUAGGACCAAGACCUGUACCCCUUCUUUUUCAGAGUCACAGCCCCAUGGGCUGGGUCCCCACGCGCUGUGCAGAGAUCAGAACCCGCAAAGCCCCUCCAAACCCAAGCCCUGGACUCAGGACCAGCCAGAGGCCCUGCAGGCCCUCCCCAAGCAGGGCUCCUAGUCACUCCUCCCCAGCACUCAGCCGCACUGAGUCACCCUCAAAGCCUGACCCAGCACUCCUCUGCCCCUCCCCCGCGCCAGACCUGAUACCCCCAUCUCCAAGCACAGGCCCUGGGGGUGGGGUUGAGGGGGGGAGUAGCAGAGGAGAAUAAGCAGCUGCAACACCCCCACCCAACCACCUAAAAUGCCAAAAAUAACAGCAGCUCUCACACACACAAACACACACACACACACACACACACACACCAACAACAACAAGCCCCCACACACCAGAAAGGCAAAUAUAAAUCCAAAAUAAAGGGGAAGAAAAAAAAAAUCAAAGCCAACUACUGCCCCCAAAAGGCUUUUUAAACAUUCUCAAAAAAAAAAAAGUUUAUUAAAAGUGUUCUUAAUGCUCGAAACGGAAAAGAUUCCCAAAUAUACAGAUGCCUCUUUUUUCAUAGAAAUAGAUUANNNNNNNNNNNNNAAAAAAAAAAAGGCCAAAAAAAAAAAAAACACCAACGAAAACAAAAAACAACAUCAACAGCAACAACCCCGUAGGAACAUCUUUAAGCGAUUACUCAGGGCCCGGCUGACAGUUACACGUGGGUUGCGUCAGUCCCGUGUACACACGCGUUCAGCCAUGUUUAAACCGAUUGCAUCAACUUCGAAAACCGGCCCGCCCGCCGGCGCCCAGAGAGGGGGGGUGGGCAGAAUGAGAGGCAAGAGUUUAUCAUUCAUCUGUACACAUAGACAUCUCUUCUUUAAAUAACACCACGGGCGGGCGCCCCGUCUGCACGUGCGGCUGGUGUGGACAAAAAUAUAGAUAGAUAUAUAUAAUAAAAUAUUAAAAUUACCGACGCGCUCCCCGCGCUGCCCAGUGCCCCAGUGCCAAAGUUCU